rnacentral:lncRNA from 1 species
UAUCACUAUCUCUUCUUGGAGGGCCUCGGAUGUGUCUGGCCACUUCCUGCCAGGGCCAUUCCCUGAUGCUGCCAACCUUUCCCAGAAAAGGAGUGGCUCCUAGAAAGACAAGGCCUACCGAGAAAUGCAGAGGGGCAGGAAGUGAGCCAUUUCGAGGGCACUCCUGUGUCACCCUGUGCUGUUGGAGUCGCCGAGGAUACAGUGUACAGGUAGCGGGAUAGCCGGUUGCCAGCACAGGCUGGGUUGAGAAACCUCCAAGGUUGACACUGCUGUUCAGGUGAAGGAGAGUUCAGAGUCUCAGAGAGCAGCAGCAGCUUGUGCUUCUGGGAAAAUGGAAGGAUGACUCCCAGGCAGCCGAUCCUGCCACUCCGUAAAAUGGAAGAACCUUGGCUCCCCGUGUGAAUUCUCUUUGUGAUUUGGAAGACAAAUACCUCUGCUGAGUUGUCUAUGAACAGUUUCCUUGUUUUGAAAAAUGGACGAUAGCCCAGGUGCAGUGGCUCACACCUGUAAUCUCAGCACUUUGGAAGACUGAGGAGGGCGGAUGAC